rnacentral:rRNA from 1 species
GAUCCUGGCUCAGGAUGAACGCUAGCUACAGGCUUAACACAUGCAAGUCGAGGGGCAGCAUUUUUCUAGCAAUAGAAGAGAUGGCGACCGGCGCACGGGUGAGUAACACGUAUCCAACCUACCGAUAACUCCGGAAUAGCCUUUCGAAAGAAAGAUUAAUACCGGAUAGUAUACGAAUAUCGCAUGAUAUUUUUAUUAAAGAAUUUCGGUUAUCGAUGGGGAUGCGUUCCAUUAGUUUGUUGGCGGGGUAACGG